AUGGCUCGAUCUGAGAUGGAGGAUGCAUCAUGGUUAUAUGUUGGUGGUGAUUGGUGCAGUACUAGGCGGUGGUCGGUUGUGUUCCUGGAGAAGAUGCAGCGACCGAAGGUUGUUGCGAUGAGGAGCCAAUCGAUUAUGAUGCGGCAGAUGAAGGGAGUGCAGCAGAAUCUAAUCGGUGAUGAGUUGUGGAGUUCGGCGACGGGUCCGUCGAGCGAUAACAGACUGCCAUUCGUCGUUUCGUGUUUUUACAGGUUGUGCUUCAUGAUAGUGAGACGUGAAGGGAUUUUAGGUGAGGUGCGAUUUGGUUUAAGGGGAGGUCGAAGAUAA